CAACACCUAAUUGAAUUCUGUUUAAGCUCAAUAGAAAAUAAGUAGUUAAUGCGACCAAGAAAGUAGUGCAGCAGAACUAUAUGUAUACUUUCAAACGUGGAUGACUUGAAGAAAAAGCUGAUGUUCAAAAAAACUUGAAAUGAUGAUAUUCAAUGUUAGCUUACAUCAAUGGAACAUAAUCUUAAACGUGUACGAAAAAAAAACAUCAGUAUUAUUACGCAUUAGGCCAAAGAAAAGUUUGUGUCCAUGUACCUAUGUACAAUAAAUUGAAUAUAAAUAAGGUGUAAUUUUGUAGCAGAGAUGCUGAAAAGUUCACAUAUAAGUCAACCGAAGGGAAAUGAAAGUAUUUAUUGUAUAUAUUUAGCAAUUUAUUGAAUAGCAUUUUAUGCCACCGCUGAUUUUUUUUACGUCAAUAACUCAAGAGGAAACAAUGGAUACAAUAUGUGGCCUUAAAAAAGCGUACUAUUUUCGCAAAAAAUGGUUCGCAAACUUUCAUAGAAUCAAAGCGUUUGAAACAAAAAUAUUAUUAUAUAAAUAAUAAAAAACAAGAUUACAAUACAAGUCUUUCAAAAGUAUUCUGGAAUUAACGGAUGCAAUUUGGUAAAACUUGGUUUUGACUAGUAGGGCACACCCGCCAUUGUUCGGACCAUCGACAGAAUAACGUUCGUGUUUUUCAGAUUUCUCCAUCCAAGACAUAGAUUUGCUGAUGAAUAACAUCGCAAAGAUCUUGGUGUAUUGUCUUCAUACUUGGCCACAACAACCCUUCAAAUAGACCAGACUAAACUAAAUUAACUUGACCACCAUAUUAACAUUCAAGAAGUUCGGCCUACAUGUCAGAUUUAUGAAUGUGAACAGCAGGAUAUCGAUUUUAAGGAUGCUUUAGGGUCAAUGACAAUGAAAUCACGAGAGAUAAAGGCUAAAAUGUGAGACUGUCAAUCUGACUAACCUUGAAGUGAACAAAUGGAAAAAAUGUUUCUUUCAAUAGCAUGGGCUUUUAAGGAAGAGGAAACAGAGGCGCUUAUAUGAUAGAACAGUAAAAGCAGGAGUGAAAAGGAAAGAUACAUGUAGAUGUGUCUUCAUGUCGGAAACACUAAAGAAAUAGAAAUAUUGUGGUUUUAUAAAACUUAAAAGAAAUUGGAAUACCAGGAGACUGCCUGCCCUUUGCAAUGUUGGAUAAUGAGUUCUUAGAUGUGAUGUCGAAAGCCUCAUGAAUAUAGUACCAUGACUUAAUCUAAUUAGAAAAAGAAAUGACAUUGAGGAGAAAACUAGUCACCAGUCUUUCACCAAGAACUAGAGAUAACUUUCCAAUAUUUGAAAUAUCAUAAUAUGUAUAGAACUUUAUUGAGCCACCAGUUUUUCACCAGGAAAAUAAGAUCACUUAACUAUUUUUAGCUCACCUGUCACAAAGUGACAGGGUGAGCUUUUUUGAUCGCUUUUCGUCUGGCGUCCGUCCGUAAACUUUUACUUUAAAUGACAUCUCCUCAUAAACCACUAAGCCAAUUUCAUCCAAACUUCACAGGAAUGUUUCUUUGGUGGUCACCUCUAAAUAUUGUUCAUAGAACGCUGGUUGCCAUGGCAACCAAAAGAAAAAAACUUAAAGUAUCUUCUUUUAAAGAACCCAAAGAGCUAGAGCUUAGACAAAGUAUCUUCUUUUAAAGGUAUGAAACAUCUUCUAGUGAGUGUCUACCAAGUUUGUUCAAAUAAAAGCCCUGGGGGUCAAAAUUGGCCCCGCCCCAGGGGGUCAUUGAAUUUCCCUAUAUGCAUAUAGUAAAAACUUAAAAAUCUUCUUUUAAAGAACCAAAAUAGCUAGAGUUUAGAUAUUAAGCAUGAAACAUCUUCUGGUAAGUGUCUACAAAGUUUGUUCAAAUAAAAGCCCUGGGGUCAAAAUUGGCCCCUCCCCGGGGGUCAUUGAUUUUCCUUAUAUGUGUAUAGCAAAAACUUAAAAACCUUCUUUGAAAAAACCCAAAUAGCUAGAGUUUAGAUAUUAAGCAUGAAACAUCUUCUGGUAAGUGUGUACAAGGUUUGUUCAAAUAAAAGCCCUGGGGUCAAAACUGGCCCCGCCCCAGGGGUUUCAUUGUUUUUAACUAUUUGUGUAUAGUAAAAACUUAAAAAAUCUUCUUUUAAAAAACCCAAUGAGCUAGAGCCUAGAUGUUUAGCAUGAAACAUCUUAUGGUGUCGACCAAGUUUGUUCAAAUUUAAGCCCUUGUAUAAAAAUUGGCCAUGCCGGGUGGGGGGUGGUGCAGAGGUCUUUGUUUUACAUUAUAUGUGUGUAGUAAAAACUUAACAUCAUGAAACAUCUUCUAACGGGUGUCUUACAAGUUUGGUCAAAUAAAAGCCCUGGGGUUUAAACUGGCCCCGCUCCAGGGGCCUAUAUACACAUGGCCCUCUUGUUGAAAUAUGUAUGAACAAAUCUUUAUCAACUUCAAGCUUUUAUCGAAGGAAUUUGAAAUAACUUGGCACAAAUGAUUGUUAUAAUAAGACAAUGAGUCAUGUCAACAACCAGACCCCUACCUCCAGGGUCAAGGUCGCACUUGCUCAUUCAAGGUCAACUUGUCUAUUUGAAAGUAUAUCUCGUGUCCGGUCUAUAACUUUCCUAUCUCUAAAGGGAUUUUGUAAAUACUUGCCACAAUUGCUCACAAUAAUGAGAAGAUGUGUCAUGCUCAACAACAGGUCACCUGCCUCCAAGGUCAAGGUCACACUUGGAGGUCAAAUAUUAGCAUAGCCUGUUACAGGGUAUAUUUCGUGUCCGGUCCAUAACUUUGUCAUUUAUUGAAGGAUUUUGAAAUAACUAGGCACAAAUGUUUGUUAUAAUAAGACGAUGAUGUGCAACAACCAGACCCCUACCAUCAGGGUCAAGGUCACACUUGCUCAUUCAAGGUCAACAUUGUCCAUUUGAGGAUAUAUCUCGUGUCCAGUCUAUACCUUUCUUAUCUUUGAAGGGAUUUUGUAAAUACUUGCCACAAUUGUUCACAACAAUGAGAUGAUGUGUCAUGCGCAACAAUCGGUCACCAACCUACAAGGUCAAGGUCACACUUGGAGGUCUAAGAUUAACAUAGCCUGUUAUAGGGUUUUUUUUUGUCCGGUCCAUAACUUUUUUGUAUAUCAAAGGAUUUUGAAAACACUUGGCACAAAUAUUCACUAUAAUAAGACAAUGUGUCAUGCGCAACACCUGCAUCCCUACCUCCAAGGUCAGGGUCACAUUUCAAGGUAAAAAAUUAACAUAGUCUUUUAAAGGGUAUAUAUUGUGUCCAAUGUAGAACUUCUUCAUAGUUCAAGGGAUUUUGAAAUAACUUGGCACAAAUAGUCACAAUAAUAAGACGAUAUGUCAAUUACAACACCUGCACCCCUGCCUCCAAGGUCAAGGUCACAAUUAGAGGUAUAAAGGUAACAAAGUCUGUUAUAUUGUAUAUUUUAUGCCCCGUCCAUAACUUCUUCAUAGAUGAAGGGAUUUGGAAAAUACUUGGCACAAAUAGUCACAAUGAUAAGAUGAUAUGUCAUGCACAACACCUGCACCCCUACCUCCAAGGUCAAGGUCACACUUAGAGGUCAAAGCAGGGAUUUUUUCCAGGAUUUUGGGAACAUAACCCAUACCCAUGCAACUGGGAAUUUCAGCGAUAUUUUGUUAAAAUUGGGAAAAAAUGCAUGACUGAAAGUUUGCAGUGAUUAAAUGUAUGCAAGCAAUCACUGCCUAGGAUGGCUUCUUCAAACAUUUAAACACUAUUGCAGUAAAGAAGCCCUUAUUUUCAAAGAUUUUAGAAUUCUUUAUUCAAUAUUUAUAUUUUUGUAACUUUCAAUUGGGAAUAUUUUCCUUUGGAUUGGGAAAAUAAUAUACUAUUUUCAAUUGGGAAUAUGUCCCAAUAACGGCUAUAAAAUAAGCCAAAAAAUCCCUGCAAAGCUUAACAUGAUAUAUUUUGAAAUUCAGUAUUUCAUUUUAUUUCUUUAAUAAAUUUAUUGUUGCAUUUGCAGAUCUAGCAUUGAUCAUAAUUUUGGACUGAAAAUCCUUAGAUCCCUGCCUCAAUCUUUUGAAAUAUCACAAUUUUUUGCUUCAUAUAAAACUUCCCUGAGGCGGGGGACGUUGGUAUCUCCGUUACAAAUUCUUGUUUAUUUUACCAACAAGUGUUCACUUUCAAACUUUUGAUCAUUGUAUUUUUUGUACUACCUUUUGUAUAAUGUUGUAUUUUAUUUAUGUUCUUAUUCUAAGAUUAGCAUGGCCAACUCAUGAAAGUCCAAAUGAUGGUCAACUUUUUUUAUGUUUUUUUUGUUGUUGUUUUUUUUUAACAUUAUUUACUUUAUUUUUACAGUGUUCCUCUGAAUCAUACAUUCUGUUUUAGUUAAACAUGCACUUCUUGUUACUUAUUUUCCCAUACUUCAUAUUACAUUGAUCACGGUUUGAUGUGAUGGCUCAUAAAAUUAUAACAAUAUCAUUUCUUUGUACUUUACCUAGUAAAAUAUGAAAACAGAAAUGCUCUUGUAAGCUAACCAAUAAGAUUUGUACACCUUUUAAGGAUUCAAUUUAUAAUUGGUAUAUUCAACAAUAUAUCAAAACACAGGUCAAGUAUGAUUUCAGUUACAUUCCACAAAAUUUAUACAACAUUAUGCCUUCCUUACCAAAUCAUAUGCAAAAAAUUGAUUUAUAACUGAUAAUAUUUGAAUGCUUUUGAAAUCUAUAAAGAUUUUUCAUAUAACUCUGGACAAAAUUUAACAGUCUUUAGUGAGUUGGAGUGUAGUAUGAAAAAUCAGGUGUCUGUUGCAAAGAUCAAGGUCACUACUUUGGAUCAAAAGUCAAAUAAUAACUUAAAACAUGAGAGUAUAUUUCUAUAUACAUGGCUAGAUUUUCAUAACAUUUAUCACAAAUGUUCACUUAUGUAUACAUCUUUCUCCCCAAUCUGAAGCUUUAAGGUUCAGUUCUGAAUAAUGGCAACAGGCUUGAUAUAUGAUGCCAGUGGGCUUGUCUAAUUAUGUACAUAUUUUGAUUACCCACUCAAUAUAAGCAUUGUUCUUAACGCAGGCAUUCAAGUCUUAUGGGCACAUUUCUACUUUUGACUAUAUUUUGUUGUAUAAUGUCAGUCUUGUAUGUAAAAAAUCCUUAAAACAGCACCUCCUAUAUUACUGGCCGUUUGCAUUAAAGCUUCUUUCAUUCAGAUUGUUAUAACUUGUGUCACCUCAAUAUGUACCAAUAAUUUAAAGGGACUCACUCCAUUGAGGUUUAAAAGCCUAAAACGUAACAUUUGAAUUUCUACAGAAAUGAGCCGGGGCACUUGAUACAGAAAUAUAUGCACAGAUAGUGAAGAAAUAUACUUUGAAAUAAAUUGAAAAUCAAUUUUUUUAUGCUUUUCUCAGCCUGAUCUGCGUGAUAUGUGUUUAAACGCUUUCAUUUUGGGUCAUUUUUUUACAAUUUGAAUAAUUAUUCUUGAAAAACGAAGUGCGCAAAUGAUCUGAAAUUUUUCUCAAAGAUUAGUGGUCAAAACAUACAUCGAGUGGUACAUUAAUCUAGAAAAAUAAAUUUCAGUCUCAUCAUGUCAAAAAACCUCAGUGGAGUUCCUUUUACACAUUUUAUCUGACAAACUAAAUUUCAUUAUCUCCAUAUAUUUAAUCAUUUAUUUUUUAUAUUACAUAUAUUUUUACUUUUAUGCAAGUUUUGACAAUAAAAGUUUAUUUUAAAUCA